UAAAAAAUAAUAAUAAUCAUAGUAGGUGAAGUUGAGUUGAAUAUUAGAUUUGUUUUUUUUAUAAGAAAAUGUUUAUUAAUUGCCAUUAUUGUGACGUCAUGUACCAAGGAAUUGCAUUUAUUGCACUUAUUUUUAUUAUUUCAAUACAGACAUCGCUAACUCGAUCAUCGUAUGAUUCCAACAAUGAUCCGUGUGAUAUAGUUUGCCAAGAUCUUACCGAAAAUGACAAGCACCCAGUGUGCAUGAUGUUUAGUAGAUACAAAAGAGGGUAUCAGUUCUUUGUUAAUUUGUGUCACGCGAGACGUGUCAUUUGCAGAGAUAAUUUAGUGUUACAAAUGGUACAUCCAAUGAGAUGCAUAAAGAGCGGACAGUCUUUUAUGUCGAUUGAUUAAUUCGUAAUAUUAUCUAAACUAAUAUUAUAAAUUCCAAAGUAACUCUGUAUAUCUGCUACGCUUUCACGGCUAAAUCGCUGAGGUUUUUUUUUUUUAAAUACAUAAGCUAUGGCUUGACCGUUAUCACACCUGAUGGAAAGUGAAGAUACAGUCUAAGUUGGAGCGCGCUUGCCUAGAAGAUGCCUAUUUACUCUUAACUUGUAGGUACCAAUAUUGUAGGUGGUGGGUACCACGGAGGUCGGGAGGGUAUUCCAGACCUUAGCGGUGCGUAUCAGAAACGAGGAAGCAAAUCGUUCCGUACGUGUCUUAGAUACGUCAACUACAUACGGGUGCAGAUCUUUACGAUGCCUCGCAGUUCUGUGGUAAAACGGUGGACCUGAAUUUGAUUAAAUUUAGCACGAAGUACGCUUGAACCCUAAGGAAGGACAUAGCCUUUUUUUAAACUUAGAACCUACCAUCCUAAAAAAGCGAGUAAAACCGUGGGCAAAAACUACAAUAUAGUGUUUGAAUAAAUAAAUGUUAUACUUUAUACUGUCAUAUCUUGUUACGCCAGCAAGAUAAUCUUUACAAAUAUUUAUUGCAUUUGUAAAGAUUACCUUGCUUGCAAUACUUAGGGAGUUGAACAAAUAUAAUGAAAAAUUCAGUUAGUAUACGACUGGAACUUCAGUAAAGUUUUUGUGAGAAGAAAUUUGAAACUUACCGCAGAUCACGUUACAUUACAUUGUGAAAUGUCAAAACGUGGUAAUAAUACGACCCAGACGGGCGUGCACAAGGCCCA